rnacentral:lncRNA from 1 species
GGCGGCUAAGUACUGUGAGUGGACCUCUUCUAAAAUUACAUGAUUUUAUAGUUCAAAUGCAUAAAUGAAUAGCAUGCCUUACGAGUUUAUGUUUUGAUUUUAUGUUAAGCCUGUUUACUGAAUAUGUUGAUUUUCGUCUUGUGUUUUUGGUGAGGAAUCAAUUGUUGGCCUAUUUGGAACUAUAUUUUAAUAUAUCGUAUUUUCUAUAAAAACCAUGAACUGGUAGACUAUCUGAUGGAUGACGAUAGGAUACUAGAACAUGUUUUCGAAACCCCUCUUUAUAGUAUAAACGAUGGAUGACUUUAUACUAUGAAGUGGUUAUUUUUUAUAGGCGUAACUAUUUGUGUGUACCUAGUGGACACUAUGCCGGCUGGGGCGAGGAUCUGGUGUUGGCAUUUAGGCCGGGAGAAAUAAUCCCUAGCAACGGGUUGAGGGACACAGAGCAGGCAUUGGGACAGGAGUUGGUAAUCUCUGGCUACGGUUCAGAGACCACGGAGCAGGCAUUGGGUCGGGAGUUAUAUUUAUUCAGUGAUCUUACAAGCAGCACACUGCGCUUACGAGACGAUACACGCGAUGCUUUAUAUGAAGUUUUUCCGCGUUAUACCUGUUGAGAUGUUUUAUGGCAUGCUAGAGUUUCAGAAAACCUAUCACUUAUUAUGCAAGUAGUUUUCAUUACUAAAACUUGGUGGUUAGUAUGUUCAUAACUGUUUUUGUAUUAUGUAUGUAUAUAAACUUGGUUCACUCACCCUUAUUUUGCGCCCCCUUUCAGGAUUUAGAAUUGAGACAUACGAUCUCGACGUCAA